rnacentral:rRNA from 1 species
CAGUAGCGGCGAGCGAACGGGGAGCAGCCCAGAGUCUGGAUCAGCUUGUGUGUUAGUGGAACGGUCUGGAAAGUCCGACGGUACAGGGUGAUAGUCCCGUACACCAAAAUGCACAGGUUGUGAACUCGAAGAGUAGGGCGGGACACGUGGUAUCCUGUCUGAAUAUGGGGGGACCAUCCUCCAAGGCUAAAUACUCCUGACUGACCGAUAGUGAACCAGUACCGUGAGGGAAAGGCGAAAAGAACCCCGGCGAGGGGAGUGAAAAAGAACCUGAAACCGUGUACGUACAAGCAGUGGGAGCACCUUCGGGUGUGACUGCGUACCUUUUGUAUAAUGGGUCAGCGACUUAUAUUCUGUAGCAAGGUUAACCGUAUAGGGGAGCCGCAGGGAAACCGAGUCUUAACUGGGCGUUAAGUUGCAGGGUAUAGACCCGAAACCCGGUGAUCUAGCCAUGGGCAGGUUGAAGGUUGGGUAACACUAACUGGAGGACCGAACCGACUAAUGUUGAAAAAUUAGCGGAUGACUUGUGGCUGGGGGUGAAAGGCCAAUCAAACCGGGAGAUAGCUGGUUCUCCCCGAAAGCUAUUUAGGUAGCGCCUCGUGAAUUCAUCUUCGGGGGUAGAGCACUGUUUCGGCUAGGGGGUCAUCCCGACUUACCAACCCGAUGCAAACUACGAAUACCGAAGAAUGUUAUCACGGGAGACACACGGCGGGUGCUAACGUCCGUCGUGAAGAGGGAAACAACCCAGACCGCCAGCUAAGGUCCCAAAGUCAUGGUUAAGUGGGAAACGAUGUGGGAAGGCACAGACAGCCAGGAUGUUGGCUUAGAAGCAGCCAUCAUUUAAAGAAAGCGUAAUAGCUCACUGGUCGAGUCGGCCUGCGCGGAAGAUGUAACGGGGCUAAACCAUGCACCGAAGCUGCGGCAGCGACACUAUGUGUUGUUGGGUAGGGGAGCGUUCUGUAAGCCUGCGAAGGUGACCUGUGAGGGUUGCUGGAGGUAUCAGAAGUGCGAAUGCUGACAUAAGUAACGAUAAAGCGGGUGAAAAGCCCGCUCGCCGGAAGACCAAGGGUUCCUGUCCAACGUUAAUCGGGGCAGGGUGAGUCGACCCCUAAGGCGAGGCCGAAAGGCGUAGUCGAUGGGAAACAGGUUAAUAUUCCUGUACUUGGUGUUACUGCGAAGGGGGGACGGAGAAGGCUAUGUUAGCCGGGCGACGGUUGUCCCGGUUUAAGCAUGUAGGCUGGUUAUCCAGGCAAAUCCGGAUAAUCAAGGCUGAGGUGUGAUGACGAGGCACUACGGUGCUGAAGUAACAAAUGCCCUGCUUCCAGGAAAAGCCUCUAAGCAUCAGGUAACAUUAAAUCGUACCCCAAACCGACACAGGUGGUCAGGUAGAGAAUACCAAGGCGCUUGAGAGAACUCGGGUGAAGGAACUAGGCAAAAUGGUGCCGUAACUUCGGGAGAAGGCACGCUGGUGUGUAGGUGAAGUCCCUGCGGAUGGAGCUGAGACCAGUCGAAGAUACCAGCUGGCUGCAACUGUUUAUUAAAAACACAGCACUGUGCAAACACGAAAGUGGACGUAUACGGUGUGACGCCUGCCCGGUGCCGGAAGGUUAAUUGAUGGGGUUAUCCGUAAGGAGAAGCUCUUGAUCGAAGCCCCGGUAAACGGCGGCCGUAACUAUAACGGUCCUAAGGUAGCGAAAUUCCUUGUCGGGUAAGUUCCGACCUGCACGAAUGGCGUAAUGAUGGCCAGGCUGUCUCCACCCGAGACUCAGUGAAAUUGAACUCGCUGUGAAGAUGCAGUGUGCCCGCGGCAAGACGGAAAGACCCCGUGAACCUUUACUAUAGCUUGACACUGAACAUUGAGCCUUGAUGUGUAGGAUAGGUGGGAGGCUUUGAAGCGUGGACGCCAGUCUGCGUGGAGCCAACCUUGAAAUACCACCCUUUAAUGUUUGAUGUUCUAACGUUGGCCCCUUACCGGGGUUGCGGACAGUGUCUGGUGGGUAGUUUGACUGGGGCGGUCUCCUCCCAAAGCGUAACGGAGGAGCACGAAGGUUAGCUAAUCCUGGUCGGACAUCAGGAGGUUAGUGCAAUGGCAUAAGCUAGCUUGACUGCGAGCGUGACGGCGCGAGCAGGUGCGAAAGCAGGUCAUAGUGAUCCGGUGGUUCUGAAUGGAAGGGCCAUCGCUCAACGGAUAAAAGGUACUCCGGGGAUAACAGGCUGAUACCGCCCAAGAGUUCAUAUCGACGGCGGUGUUUGGCACCUCGAUGUCGGCUCAUCACAUCCUGGGGCUGAAGUAGGUCCCAAGGGUAUGGCUGUUCGCCAUUUAAAGUGGUACGCGAGCUGGGUUUAGAACGUCGUGAGACAGUUCGGUCCCUAUCUGCCGUGGGCGCUGGAGAAUUGAGGGGGGCUGCUCCUAGUACGAGAGGACCGGAGUGGACGCAUCACUGGUGUUCGGGUUGUCAUGCCAAUGGCACUGCCCGGUAGCUAAAUGCGGAAGAGAUAAGUGCUGAAAGCAUCUAAGCACGAAACUUGCCCCGAGAUGAGUUCUCCCUGAGACUUUAAGUCUCCUGAAGGAACGUUGAAGACGACGACGUUGAUAGGCCGGGUGUGUAAGCGCAGCGAUGCGUUGAGCUAACCGGUACUAAUGAACCGUGAGGCUUAACCUU